rnacentral:tRNA from 1 species
CUAGACUGGUGGGCCUUUAUCCCACAAAAACUUAGUUAACAACUAAACACCCUAUCCAGCGGGCUUCAGCCU